GUCCAUAUCGACGGCAUGGUUUGGCACCUCGAUGUCGGCUCGUCGCAUCCUGGGGCUGGAGUCGGUCCCAAGGGUUGGGCUGUUCGCCCAUUAAAGCGGUACGCGAGCUGGGUUUAGAACGUCGUGAGACAGUUCGGUCCCUAUCCGCCGCGCGCGCAGGAGUCUUGAGAAAGGCUGUCCCUAGUACGAGAGGACCGGGACGGACGAACCUCUGGUGUGCCAGUUGUUCCGCCAGGAGCACGGCUGGUUGGCUACGUUCGGGAGGGAUAACCGCUGAAAGCAUCUAAGCGGGAAGCCUGUUUCAAGAUAAGGACUCCCACAGAUUUAUCUGGUAAGGCCCCCAGUAGAUGACUGGGUUGAUAGGCCGGAGGUGGAAGUGCAGCAAUGCAUGGAGCUGACCGGUACUAAUAGGCCGAGGACUUGACCUC
rnacentral:rRNA from 1 species